rnacentral:rRNA from 1 species
AACGGCCGCGGUAUUUUGACCGUGCGAGGUAGCGCAAUCACUGUCUUUUAAAGGAGACCGUAUGAANGGCAUAACGAGGGCUGACGUCUCGAAGCGGGGAUACUCACAUAAGACGAGAAGACCCUANGGAGCCAAGGCAGCUUGUGUUAAGCACCAUAAACAAGACAAAUACUGCCCUAAUGUCUUUGGUUGGGGCGACCGCGGGGAAACACAAAACCCCCAUGUGGAAUGGGAACAUCCUCCUAGAAUUAAGAACUACCGUUCUAAAUACCAGAAUUUCUGACCCAGAUCCGGCAAGCCGAUCAACGAACCGAGUUACCCUAGGGAUAACAGCGCAAUCCCCUUUUAGAGCCCAUAUCGACAAGGGGGUUUACGACCUCGAUGUUGGAUCAGGACAUCCUAAUGGUGCAGCCGCUAUUAAGGGUUCGUU